UACAGAGGCCUCGAGCGUUAGGCUGAAUCACUGGGCUUAAAGCGUGUGUAGGCGGACUUCUAAGUGCCUUGUGAAAUCCCACGGCUCACCCGUGGAACUGCUGGGCAUACUGGGAGUCUUGAGCCACCUAGGGGCGAGCGGAACAAAUGGUGGAGCGGUGAAAUGCGUAGAUAUCAUUUGGAACGCCAACGGAGAAAUCAGCUCGCUGGGGGUGUGCUGACGCUGAGACACGAAAGCCAGGGGAGCGAACGGG
rnacentral:rRNA from 1 species